UUAACAGUUCUUAUAUUAAUCAUUCAAAUCUCAAGUCUUUUAACCGUUUGAUUUCUAGGUCAAGUCUUUAACAUUAGCUGCAUUUUUUUAAUUGUUACCACUUAAUGAGUCGAAAUAGAUAGAUCAAAACUUGAUAUCAUUAAGCUAUUUGUUGAAAGAUUUCUACAAAGAUGAUGGUUCACCAAUUCCAUUGAUUCAUCACUGUCGUCGUCGCCCACUAUUAUCAACUAACAUUGUCACCGCCCACCAUUAUCAAUUAUUACCACGCACCAUCUUCAGCUACAACCACCACCUCAGCCAAUCACUAUAGUUUGUUAUCACUCCUACUAGCCAUAUUUAUCCUCCACCACUGAACCAUUUCCACAACAACCAUCUCACCAUUUGCCACGACUUUAUAUCGCCAACCACUGCUAUCAUUGACCACUACGAUUAUCUAUCACUAUCAUCCACCACAAUUAUCAGCCGCCACUACCAACUAUCAACAUCAACUACUGCCAGCCACCAUCACCACUAGCUAUUACCCACAACACCAUCCCUAACUGACGCCCAUAACCACUAUUCUUAACCUUCAUUUAAGUUUUUAAAAAUAUUUUGUUGAUGUGGUAUUAGAUUAUUUAGUAUUUAGUAUUAUAUUUAUUAGUUUUUAAAUAAAGUAAACUUUAUACAUUCAAAUGUUGAAAAAAUAAAUAGUUUCAAUUAUUUAGUGUUCAGAUCUUAAUACAACAUCUUAAUAUUCAAAUGUGUAUUCAAAUUCAGGCUAUCAAUAACAACAAAUGAGGCCUAAAUGUUAACUUUUCUCAAGUUUAAGGAGUUGACUACAUAUUUUGCUUUUUAGCAUCAUUCAUGUUGACCAAC
rnacentral:lncRNA from 1 species